rnacentral:misc_RNA from 1 species
GAUGAAGAAACGUAGCGAAAUGCGAUAAGUAAUGUGAAUUGCAGAAUUCAGUGAAUCAUCGAAUCUUUGAACGCACAUUGCGCCCGCCAGUAUUCUGGCGGGCAUGCCUGUUCGAGCGUCAUUUCAACCAUCAAGCCCCAGGCUUGUGUUGGAGCCCUGCGGCUGCCGCAGCCUCCCAAAACCAGUGGCGGGCUCGCUAUCACACCGAGUGCAGUAGUUUACUCUUCGCUCAGGGCGUGUGGCGGGUGCUAGCCGUGAAACCCCCAACUUCUCAAGGUUGACCUCGGAUCAGGUAGGAAUACCCGCUGAACUUAAGCAUAUCAAUAAGCGGAGGA